rnacentral:rRNA from 1 species
UAAGYGGAGGAGAAGAAACUAACCAGGAUUUCCCUAGUAACGGCGAGCGAACCGGAAAGAGCCCAGCUUGGGAAUCGUGGUGCCCCGCACCUCGAGUUGUAGUCUGGAGAAGGUCCCUCUGCGGCGCGCCGGACCCAAGUUCCCUGGAAAGGGACGUCAUCGAGGGUGACAGCCCCGUCCGYGCCCGGAACGCGUCGCUCCACGAGGACCUGUCUGCGAGUCGGGCUGUUUGGGAAUGCAGCCCUAAUCGGGAGGUAAAUUCCUUCCAAGGCUAAAUAUGGGCAAGAGACCGAUAGCGAACAAGUACCGCGAGGGAAAGAUGAAAAGGACUUUGAAAAGAGAGUUAAAAAGUGCUUGAAAUUGCUGGGAGGGAAGCGAAUGGAAGCUGCGGGUGCGCCCCGGUUGGAUGUGGAACGGCUUCGGCUGGUCCGCCGCUCAACGCGGGGCGCUGGUCAGCGUGGGCCACGGCGCCGGGACAAGAGCGGGGAUUCGCUUCCCGCCUAUGCCGGUGCGGUGGCCGAGGAACGAAGCGCGCGCCCCUCGGGGCGUGGGUUCGCCCAACUGUGCGCUCGGGACGCUGGCGUAUUGAGCUCUUCAUCCGACCCGUCUUGAAACACGGACCAAGGAGUCUAACAUGUAUGCGAGCCGGUGGGCGGCAAACCCAUUGAGGCGCAAGUAAACUGACAGGUGGGACCCCGACCGCGCAAGGGGAGGGAGCACCAUCGACCGACCGUGAUCUUCUGUGAAAGGUUUGAGUGUGAGCAUACCUGUUGGGACCCGAAAGAUGGUGAACUAUGCCUGAGCAGGGCGAAGCCAGAGGAAACUCUGGUGGAGGCUCGUAGCGAUACUGACGUGCAAAUCGUUCGUCAGACUUGGGUAUAGGGGCGAAAGACUAAUCGAACCAUCUAGUAGCUGGUUCCCUCCGAAGUUUCCCUCAGGAUAGCUGGAGCUCGUGUACAAGUUUUAUCAGGUAAAGCGAAUGAUUAGAGGCAUCGGGGGUGUAACACCCUCGACCUAUUCUCAAACUUUAAAUAGGUAAGCCGCCGGGGUUGCUUGGUUGAACCCCGGCACAGAAUGAGAGCUCCAAGUGGGCCAU